CAUCCCAAGACCCUGGGAUCAUGACUUGAGCAGAAGGCAGACGCUUAACCACUGAGCCACCCAGGCACCACUUGGAGACAUUUUUCUAAAAUUUGUUCAGAUGGCUUUCUUGUCUUUGUUUUGCUUGCCACUGAACCAGUCAAAUUUCCUUUUCAGUUAUAACUUUCUUCAGACCUUUCACAUUUGAAUAUUAAACUAAAAUUUGCUUCCAAAAAAGUGUCUGUUUGCUUUUAUUAGUUCCUAGUGACUGUCAGUGAAUAUUUUGUGUAUGUGAAUUAUUUAACACUUUAAAGUAUUAAUAAAAAGCAUGAGUUACCAAAUGCUAGGUUUAAAAAUAGAAUUAGGUCUCUCAUAGCCUUGAAGGUAGUAAUCGUUAGAAUUUUUCUAAUUAAAAAGCACUGGAUAUAUUCCCUAAGUGCUUCUGAUGACUUCCCAGUAUGGAAAUAAUCUUUAAGUUUUUCAUAUAAAAAGUCCUAAUAUUACAGAAAAUAAAGCAUUAACAUUUAAGAUAUUUAGGCCUAUAUUGGAAAUGAUGCAGUUUUCUAUGUUAAAAAUAUAAAGCCAUCCUUAAAAAAAAUAUGUGUGUGUGUAUGUGUGUGUGUGUGUAUGUGUGUGUGUGUGUGUAUAUAAUCUCCAUCCUAGAUAUAGGAGUUGUAUGAUUUUCUUCAGUAUAAGAAACCUGUCUAGAAGUGGCUAUCACAUACUUUUAGCUAGAGUACAUAAUUCAUCAGACAUAUCUUAGAUUAUCUCACUGGCAUUUGUCGUCACAUGUGGUUGAUUUCUAAACAUAUUAAAGGAUUUGGACCUAUGAAGCUAAUGGCUGUAGUGAAAAAUGCAAGGACAGAGAUACAACUGUAUUCACUUUCGUCUUAUGCCUAUAAUCUUAUAAACUGAAAAUUCAAGGGAAAAGAACAAAUAGAAAGUCACUAAUAUAACAUUUGUUUUCUGUGGUAUAGAUUUUUAAUGUUUCCUUUGAAAGUUAUUUUACAAAUAUUACCAUAAUAACUAAAAACAGCACAGUUCUGUCAUUGAAUUACCCAUUCAUUUUUCAAAGUUGACUGUUAGUGGAGUUUUGGGUGUUUUUGUGUGUGUUUUUCCACUUAUAAUAUGAUGGCUGUCUCAUUUAAAAUCUAUAACUUUUUGAAUGUACAAAAUGAUUAGCGAUUUGUAAUAUUACAAUGUAGCACUGUAAUUUAAGAAUAGAAAGUUAGGAUUUAGGUAGGGUUGAAAAAUAAAAUUAUAUUUUUUGAUUAAAAUAUAAACUUUUUAAAGAGUCUUAUUCCAGUUGGACCUUUUAAAAUUUUAUUUUGGUAAUAAUAUAUUUCAAAAUAAUAAGUAUUAAAAACAGAGGUUCUCUGGUAGCCAGGGUACUAACUAGUUAAAGUUAAAAUGCUAUUUUUGAUGUUCCUUCCUUUGGAAACAUUUCCUACACUAUCCAACCAAUGCGUUUUUAAGAUUUAAUGGGCUCAAAAAAAAAAUUUAAUGGGCUCAACCUAUAAAUUCAACAAAUGCCUGUCUUGCAUUUUGAAGGAAAAAACUUACCUGUGAUUGGCAUUAUUUUGGUCUUCAGAAUGUUAAAAUCAUAUUAAUCAUAAACACUUUAGAAGUGGCUCUGGUAAGGAGAUACCAGUUGUUAGACCUAACUGAAAAAAUUCAGCCUCUUAAUUUCUUAUAUGGGAUUAAAGAAAAUAACUUUAUUUUUUCCUUUGGGAUUUUGAUUGCUCUUAAAAGUAUUUAUCAUAGUUUCUACCUUCUUCUAAAAUUAUGACAUAUUACAACAGAUCUUGCUGUCGAAGAUCUUUUACAUUUUAGACUUUUUCCCCCCUCUUCUAACAUGUUACUACUUUCUGUGAUUCAAAAAUACUAUCAUCAAAAAUACUUGUGGAUACUGUUUGUCUUAUAAUUAGCUUUACUUUAUAUAAGAAGAAUUGUUAAAAAAAAAAAUGUAUGGCUGGUCUGUUUUCUUCAGAAACUCCUAAAGAGUAUGGCGUUCCUUCCCCCAGUUGUUAGCUUUUAUAUAUUUGGAGCAAAAUUUAGCAAAAAAUAAUCAGAGAUUUAGCUAGACAUUGUCUGUCAGAUGCACUGCUAUAAAAAUGAAUCCAUUAAGACAGAAAAUUAUCAACCACAUAUGAUUUGUCUCUUAUGUUGGUUUUUCUGGGACCCAAAUUAAAUAGGAACAUUUCAGUGUUAUCAUAGAGGGUGACAAUGACUUGAAUGCAUGUGAAUGCACAUAAGCGGAGGAGGACAGCUGAAAAUUCAGAAUUACUUGUUUUAAAGAAAAAUACUUGCAAAUUGUGCUGCUACUUAAAUAUUUAAGGAAUUCAAAAAGUUGUGUAGUUAUCGUUAAACGGUCCUUCUCAUUUAUUCUACUGGAAUUGACCAUGAAAAAGAGAAUAUUAAGCCUUAUUUAUAUCUAAUUAUUGACUGUGCAAACUGUGACUCAGUGAAUAUUUGUAUGCCAAAAAAAGGUCUUAAAGUUGAGAAAAUUUUUAAUAAAGAUGUGUAAAUAAUUUUGAUUAGUCUUCUCAUUAUAAUGAAAUUACUGUUAAUUUGGUGCAAUACAUUCUUUCCUUCCUCAUCUUUUUAAGGUUGAAUAUAUAAGAUGUAUGUUUUGUUUUGUUACAUUGUGUUUGAAAAUUUUUCAGUGUGUGUAUAUGAGCUAAUAUUUGAUUUGUUUCUGUAUAGCAUGAUUGAAGAUAAUUGAGAAUUUUGCACUUUUUUUAGUCCUUUGGAAAUUUGUAUUCUAACAGUUUUUAAGAAUAUACAUUUAUUUUGUACAUAAUACAUUAGCUUUGUAUAUGAAAAUGGGUUCAAAUCAAAUAAAAAAAUGAUGUUACUUUC